rnacentral:rRNA from 1 species
CGACGCCGCGUGUGGGGUGAACGCCUUCGGGUCGUAAACCACUUUUCUCAGGGAGGAAUAAUGACAG